CCACACUCCUGACAUGGCGAACCCGGUUCGUCGCCAUGUCACGGUUUAUCAUUCAUCCCUCCUGAGCUCCUUCAUUCUCCCUCUUCUCCCUUAGACCUCUCACUCGACGCAGUACUCUCCUCUUCUCCCUUUCUAACCUCUCACUCGAAGCAGAACUCUCCAUCUUCUCCCUCUCCAUUACCUUAAACUCUUCUCUCUCACCCCAACGCCCUCACCCCCUUCAGUCCUGAACCCUAGAAAAAUUCAGCAACCUCUCACUCGACGCAGUACUCUCCCUCUCGAACCUUUCACUCGAAGCAGAACUCUCCCUCUUAUUCCUCUCCAUUACCUCAGAAUAUUUUCUCUCACCCCGACGCCCUCACCUCCUUCAGUCCCUCACCUUAGAAAAAUUCAGCAAAACCUUUGAAGACCCAUCUCCCUCACCCCCUUCAGUAAGAGAAACUGUCCUUAAAGGUACGUUUUUUUUUCAAUUUGUUUUAAAUCUCUACCUUCCAAACGACUCUUCAAAUAGGCCCUACUAGCCCUAACUUUUCUUCCUAGAGAAGCAUAGCCUUUUGAGAGAGAGAGAGAGAGAGAGAGAGGAGCUUUCUCUUACAUCGCUUUAUCACCACCAAAUCUUCAAGAAUGCAAUAUUUGAACUUUUAUCAAGACAUUUUUAUUUUGUUGUAUCCACCGCUCUGUUUGGAAGUAAAAAUUAGGAGGAAAGGAGCACAACAUGAAAGAAAUUUGGAGAAACAAGAUUUCAAUUCUUCAUUUGGGUAGAUAUACUUCAAUCAAUACUACCAAAACAAUUCUGACAAGAGAGAAUGAACUUCGGAAGAGGGAGGAUGCUUUAUGGUUGCAUGAGUAUGAAGCUCAAAAAAAAAAAAAAAAAUGAACAAACUAAUAGAGAGAAUAAGUUUCACAAACAAGAGGACGAACUUCGAAGAAAGAUAGUAGAGAAUAGGAAUGCACGUAUACUGUUGUGUCUAUAUUGGAUUGUAUCUCUUGUAAUAGUUUUUGGUCGGUUCUGAAUGUAGAUGUAUCAUGUUAGUUUUAAAUGUAAAUAGAUCGAUCGGAUCCUAACGUGUAUGAUAUAUUCUCUAUGAAUAUAAUUAUGACAGCUUAUUAUGGAUAUUAA